GAUGAACGCUGACAGAAUGCUUAACACAUGCAAGUCAACUUGAACUUCGGUUUGGGUGGCGGACGGGUGAGUCACGCGUAAAGAACUUGCCUCACAGAUAGGGACAACAUUUGGAAACGAAUGCUAAUACCUGAUAUUAUGAUUAUAUGGCAUCGUAUAAUUAUGAAAGCUAUAUGCGCUGUGAGAGAGCUUUGCGUCCCAUUAGCUAGUUGGAGAGGUAACGGCUCACCAAGGCGAUGAUGGGUAGCCGGCCUGGGAGGGUGAUCGGCCACAAGGGGACUGAGACACGGCCCUUACUCCUACGGGAGGCAGCAGUGGGGAAUAUUGGACAAUGGACCAAGAGUCUGAUCCAGCAAUUCUGUGUGCACGAUGAAGUUUUGCGGAAUGUAAAGUGCUUUCAGUUGGGAAGAAAAAAAUGACGGUACCAACAGAAGAAGUGACGGCUAAAUACGUG
rnacentral:rRNA from 1 species